rnacentral:misc_RNA from 1 species
AAUGUAGGGAUUGAGAUUCCAACAUAUAACCACCAUAUCAAUAUAUCACCAAUUAAGUUUCCCAAAAACAAAUACAAUUAUUGCACAGUUAGAUAAGAAAUAAUCAUCAUUAUUCCUUUUCAUUGUAUAGUAUGCCUUCAUGAAAAGAAUAAUCAGUUACCAAACAUUGGCUAGGAAACGCAUGCCAUACUUGCUUCCAGAAAAUAGAAUGUCUAACUUCCUGCUCAGAAUCCCCUUAAAUAUUUUAGAACUCGAAUUUGCCAUGGUAAAACACUUCUGAUGUUCAGAGAUCAAUGUUACAAAAGACUACACGCCAAAGAAUAAUGAAAAUUUGCAAACCUAGACAAAAAGCUCCACUAGCUAUAAAACAAAUAAACAUACUGUUAGAACCAAA